AAACUGGAUAGGAAUUCUUUCGUAUCACUUAUGGAUUGUGAUACUCAGGAUUGUGAUGCUGUGGGCAACUCAGUUGAGGCAAAUAUGGUUGUUUUGAAGUGUUGCAUUGCUGUUGUGAUGCAGGUGGGUUUUGGGAAUUUGUAAACAUUUACCCACAAUUUGCUAAUAACAGUGGGCCUUCCACACUUUCUGCUGACGGAUGGACAGGUAUACUUACUGCAGUUGUUGACUGAACCUGGCAGCCAAUUCCUACACACGGUCAGAGGUUUCCAUGAUAUAGAAUUGUUUCACGUUGGAGGUAGCUGGGGUUGAGGGCUAUGCUGGGUAGGGCAAGCAGUGUUGUGCUAUGGCUCUGGGAUGGUCAAAUAAAUCGGGCUGAGAUGAAAGAUGUUCAAAGUAUUUGCUAGCUUGUAAACCGCUCUCUUUAGUUUAGCUAACCAUAAGGCAGCUAAAACUUCCUGAAACCUUCUGACAACCAAAGCCAUUUGGAACAGUCAAAGGCAGUAAAUUUCUGAAAUAAAUAAAAGCUUCACUGAAAUUUUAAAAAUAGAAUUAUGAAAACUGAAGUCACUUGCAAGCACUCAAAAUAUUUAGCUAAGCCAUUCAAAAAAUCUAAAUUAGCCAACAAUUACCUUAGACCUUCAGAACCGCUCUGCUCCAUUAAAAUCAAUAACAAACUUCGCAGAUUCCUAAUUGUAAGUGGUGUGGGGGUUGCUGCAACUUUGAAAACCCUCUCUUGACUCCACGAGGAGUCCAGGAUCAGAGGAAAGGAUCAGCACAUGAUUGACUGCAACUUCAGCGCUUUUUAAAAAUGUUUUCUGGGAAAUCCUGAUGAAGCACAGUGAGGCUGGGAAAUGCCAAUAUUUCCCUGAAAGAAAAAUCUCCUUCUUUACCUCCUAGUGUUCCUAUCCUGAUCAAUAAUGCAACUCAGAAUUCUGGAAUUGUGCAGCUGCAUUUUAAAAAAACUGUUUAAAAUAUUCAGCAAAAAUGGAAUGAAUAAAAGUUGCAGGUGCUGGAAAUCUAAAAUAAAAACACAACUUUUUUUUAAAUUUAUUGAGAAACAGUGUGAAAUAGGCCCUUCUGGCCCUUUGAGCCAUGCUGCCCAGCAAUCUCCUGAGUUAAUCCUACCUCAAACAUGGGACAAUUUACAAUGAGCAAUUAACCUACCAACCAGUACGUUUUUAGACGGUGGGAGGAAACUGGAGAACCCGCAGGAAAUCUACAUGGUCACGAGGAAAAUGUACAAACUCCUGACAGACAGCAGCCGGAAUUGAACUGUGAAGCGUUUUGCGAGCCACGAAUCUACCGUGCUGCCCCAUGCUGUCUGUAGAUCAGCAGUGGAAAGAGAAAAAGAUCUUUCAAUUCAAAAUUGGGAAAAGCGAAUAAACAGGAUAGAUAAGGCAAAAUUUUAUCUCUGAUUGUGUGCGGCCACCGGGUGCUCCCUCAGCAACAUAAAGCUCCUCAUUUCUGCCUCUUAACCAGUUCUGACGAAAGGUCUUUCACUUGAAAAAUUAACUCUGCUUAACUUUCCAAACUUGCCACCUGAUUUGCUGAAUGCUUUCCACAUUUUCUAUUUUUUAAUUUAACAGUUUCAGGAUUUGAUUUGUAUGGAAGUUAUCCAAGCAACUUGGCAAUGCAGUGAACUAGAGCACUUAAGGAAAAUUAACUGCACAUCAGUUCUAUGAGAGACAAUAUGGAUAAAGGCUAUAUCAUUAUUGACUAAUUGUGAUUUCCCACAUAUCCAUACAACUGAUGUCUGUAUACCGUACUGUGCAGAAGUUUUAGGCACGUUUAUGUAUAUAGCUACAGCACCUAAGAUUUUUGCACUGUAUUGUAAUUGUCAAUGUGGUGCAACAGGCAAGUUUGUCAAUCUGGUGGGAGCAAAGGAUGUUGGGAAUAGUGAGAAUGGAGAUUCAGGGAGAGGUAUGGGACAGGUGGCUGAAAAAGAGUGCCAGGGGUGGGAGGAGAUGUGGAUGCAGACAUACCUGGCCUUGAGACACCAGGCAAGGCCAUUUGAUUCCACACAAUUGGUUUAUUAAUCAUUACAGAAUGUCACUCCGGUGCUUCCUGCUCCUUCUCCUCUCCCUUCCCCUGUCCCAUUCUCAGUCCACAACAGAGACUCAUUUUUGAAACAAAUUUAUCAUCAGUCAAAUAUGUCAUGAAAUUUGUUUCUCUUUUCUAUUUGUGGCAGCAGUACUGUUCAAUAUAUAAAAUUACUACAGUACUGUGCAAAAGUCUUAGGCACCUUAGCUAUAAAUAUGUGUCUAAGACUUUUGCAUGGUACUGUAAGUCUUUGAGAAUUAGGGCAUGAAAUUUAGGCAUUAAAAUUUAGUAAGGCAUUAACGGCUUAUUGCAGUUUGCCACAUAUCUAUACAAUUAAUAUCUGCAUUUAUCUUUAUAUCGUUAGAAAAUUAGCUAGUGCUCAGAGAGUGUGAAAAUGAUUGAGUAGAAACCGCAACCCAGUUCAGUUAGCUUUGAGCAGCAAUAAGUAAAUACCUAGGUAGAUGUAAGCAAACCAGAAAAAAAUCCCUUCAAUGAAAUACUAUGAGCUCAUCUCACCUAUUCACUAAUUCAAUUGUACGUGACUUUCUAGACAGUAUUGUGGACACAAAUAGAGAAUGAGGAAGCUUCUUGGAGCCUUGGCAGUAGUGUGCGUCAGAUACCUCAGUGCUUUGUAACAAUUAUAAGAUCCGUUUUGAGGAAAAAAACAGUUAUAUCUAUUGAAUUAAGAAAAUUGCAUUUAUUGUGCAUGUCACCCUGACAUGCUCACUGAUAAAUAAUUGCUUGCUUCAUUCUCUGGAAGUUAUACAUAAGUACAAAUGGCAUUGAAGCACAUCCCAGAAAAGAGAUUAACUCCACAAACCAGCUCAUACAAUUACUCCGAUACCUUUGUCGUCGUUUGAUGUGAUGGAAUCUGUUAUGUCCUUUUGUUCUUCAUAGGAUAUCAGAUUUUUUUUGUUGCACUUGAAGAUAGGAACUCUGCGAAAUACAUUGAGAAUUGAAAGUGAUUCAGACGACAAUGUGAAAAAUUAUUUCCCAGUACUUGGGGCUCAGAAUGAAUGUGCUGAUGUAGCUAGAAGUUAGGAACGCAGAUGAAAUGUUAUCUUCCAUGGCAAUACGCUGUGGAAUAAGAGGGUUGCUUGGAAAUGUAUCCCUAAUUUGUUGCUCUAAAUGUGUGCAAGCUAAUAUCAGUACAUUGUUUCAUACACAGAAAAAAAUCUGCAGAUGUGAAAAUCCAAACCGACGUACACAAUAUUCCGGAGGAACUCAGCAGCCCGGGCAGCAUCUAUGGAAACGAGCAAAUGGGUGACGUUUUGGGCCAAGACCCUUCAUCAGGGUCCUUACUUCAGUCUUGAAUGAAGUCCUCGGCCUGAAAAGUCGAUUGGUUACUCUUUUCCAUAGAUGCUGCCUGGCCUGCUGAGUUCUUCCAGCAUUUUGUUUGCAUUGGUCAGCACAUUAUUCUCUGCUUCUGAAUUUCACUUAUUGGACUUUGGAAGCAAACUAUAAAGGAGUGAUGCAGUUACAAAAUGCAUUACCUGCUGCUAAAUCGGGAAGAAUUUCUGGAUGAGAUAUAUGGUGUCAGUAGAACCAUACCCAGUAUAAGUUUGCUUUUCAGAUGUUUUGGCAUAAUCAAUCACUAGAUUGAUUCCUGGAAAGAAAGAACAAUUUGAGAGGUUACGUCCAUCCAUCCACUCUGUGCCAUGUUGUGUGACGUGGGAGAUCAUGUUCUCAUGACCAUGAUUAUUCUUGGCAAAUCUUUCUACAGAAGUCAUUUGCCAUUGUCUUAUUCUGGGCAGUGUCUUUACAAGAUGGGUGACCUCAGCCAUUAUCAAUACUCUUCAGAGAUUGUCUGCCAGGCAUCAGUGGUUGCAUAACCAGGACUUGUGAUAUGCACCAGCUGCUCAUACGACCAUCCACCAUCUGCUCCCACGAUUUCACAUGAUCCUGAUCGGGGGCUAAGUAGGUGCUACACCUUGCCCAAGGGUGAACUGCAGGCUAGCAGAGAGCAAGAGCACCUUACACCUCCUUCGGUAGAGUAGUUAUGUAGAUUGACUGUUACAUUGGGAAGGGUGAAAGUGGAGUGCCAUGGGAGGGAUGUGGGACAGAUGGCAGAGGAGUGCCGGGGUGAGGCACGGUUUGGGUGCAGGCACACCCAGCUGUGAGACACCAGGCAAGUUCAUUUGAUCCAAACAAUUAGCUUAUUCAUCAUUAUAGAACAUCUCCCUGGUGCCUCCCUCUCCCUCCCAUUUCCCUUCCCGUUUGCCAACCAUGAUUUUCCUCUCCCUGUCCCCUUCCCACUCUCAGUCCACAACAUAGACCCAUAUCAGAGUCAGGUUUAUCAUCACUCACAUAUGUCAUGUUUUAUUGUUUGCAGCACCUGUACAGUGCAAUACUGUGCAAAUGUCUUAGACACUCUACCUAUAUCUAUCUGCCUGAGACUUUUGCACGUUAGGGUAGAUCUUUGAGAAGUAAGGCUGGAGUUGUUCUGCUGGGUCUUGCCCUUCAGUGGUGUUGCUCUCCCUCCUGCUCAUCUUAUCUCCGGAGUUCUUCAGCCUGCUCAGGCGACAGAUCUCCUUGCUGCUUCUCCUUCAUGAUGUGCUGCUGCCUUCAGCUUGCACACAGGCACCAUACUGCAGUCCUGUGAGUACCAUCACGUUCCUGUUGAGCAGCUGGCACAGGAUGACCACGACAGCAUCACGCACACAAACCUCAUAUUCACAAGAGAUAACGUUGAUACUCACACGGAUCUUAAUUAUUUACUUGCUUAGAGAUACGGUGUGGAAUGGGCCCUACCGUCCUUUCGAGCCACGGCGCCCAGCAAUCCCCCGGUUUAACCCUAGCCUCAUCACAGAACGAUUCACAAUGACCAAUUACUCUACCAACUGGUAAGUCUUUGGUCUGUGGGAGGAAACUGGAGCAUCCAUAGGAAACCCACAUGGUCGUGGGGAGAUUGUACAAACUCCUUAUAGGCUGCGCUGAGCAUUGAACCCAGAGCACCUGUAUUGUAAAGUGUUGUGCUAACCACUACGCUACUGUGCUGCCUAAGCUGCUUAAUUGUUGUGUGAACUAGUGUCAGGAGCAUAAGUUCCCCUUGCUGCCUAGAAGGGGUUUAUACAUUCUCUCCGGGACCACGUGGGUUUCCUCUGGCUGCUCCCGUCUCUUACCACAGUCCAAAGAUGUACCAGUCAGCAAGUUAAUUGGCCAUUGUAAAUUGUCCUGUAAUUAGGCUGAUUAAAUUGAAAAGGUUAGGACUUUAUUUCUCAGAAUGUACAAGACUAAGAGGAGAUUUGAUGGGGGUAUACAAAGUUAUGAGGGGUAUAGAUAGGGUAAGAGUAAGCGGGCUUUUUCCACUGAGGUUAGGUGAGACUACAAUCAGAAGUCACGGAUUAAAAGUGAAAGGUGAAAGGUUCAAGAGGAUCAUGAGAGGAAACUUCUUCAUUCAGUGGGUCGUGAAGGUAUGGAACAAGUCAUGCAUGUGAGCUUUAUUUCAGUGUUUAAGGGAAGUUUGGAUAGGUACAUGAAUGGUAGGGGUAUGGAGGGCAAUGGUCCUGCUGCACAUCAAUGGGAGUAAGCAGUUAAAAUGGUUCAGCACGCACUACAAGGACCAAAGGGCUUGUUUCUGUCCUGUACUUUUCUAUGACUCUAAAUCGGGUGAUUGCUGGGCAGUGGGGCUCAAAGGGCCGGACGGGCCUAUUCUAUGCUGCAUUGCGAUACAUAAAUAAAUAAAUUACAGCAUGUCAAACUGAAGCCACCAGUAAUGGAGCGUUGCUAUUACAGUCACCAAUAAGGUAACUUUUAUGAGCAGCUAACUGCUGAAACAAAAAAAAACACAGCCUUGUUAGUUGUAGCACAGUCUAUGAAAUACAAUCACCUUCGAAGUUGUCCAGUCAAAUAUUCCAGUGGUCAGCGGAAUAGACUGAAAUAUAACAAAGUAGCAGGAGAUACCUUUCAUUUUUAUUUUGUCACUGUUCAGUCAAGGUCAUAGGUUGCAUACAAAGCUCCAAUUUAUGCCAGCAAGGAACGAAAUCUAAUGUCAUUAGAUGCACGGCCGAUGCCAGAGAAAUGUCAGCCUUGCUAAGCUGAUUUGUGCCUGGGCCAAUUUCCCAGUGGGUGUAAUUUCAUUCAGGAAGGAUUGCUUGUGCAAUCUAACCUGGGUAAAGCCACUUCUGUGAAUGCGUUAUGCAUAAAUGUGUACUAUAAUGGAUCCAAUUUCUUGUCUUUCUCGGCUUUUUGUGUUUUGAUUUUAAUUACUUUAAUAAGAAAUACAAAUGGAAUAAUGUUUAUACUACACUGAUAACAGCAAUCAGUUCUCACCAUUAAUAUGUAAUCGCUUGUAUUCCAGCAGCAUCAUCAAGAAUCUUCUCUUUAUGCAGAGUUGUAUUAUCUGUUUUUUAUUCAUUUUCUGGGAAGCGGACCAGCACUGGUAAGACCAUCUCCAACUAUCCUUGAGAAGAUUAUGAUGAGCCAACUUCUUGAAUAGUUGCAAACCUUCUGGUGUAGAUCGUCCAACAGUAUGGCUGGCGAGGGUGUUUCAGAGUUUAGAGGCAUUGAAGAUGAAGGGUCAAGCCAAAAUGGCAUGCACCUUGGAGGGCCAUUAAAAAGUCAUGUCAAAAUGGCUUGCACCUUGAAGGGGAAUGUGCAGGAUGGGCAGUUCUAAUGGACAUGAUGCUCUUGUCCUUGAUAGUUCUGUGGUCGUUCUGUGGGAGUUGCCAAGCUGCUGUCCUCUGGGCAAGUUAUGGUUCACACAACCGACAACUGAUAGAUAAUGAAAGGCCUCUGGACACCAGGAAUCACUUGCCAGAAGACAUCUUACCUUUGUUGUAAUCCUGUAGCCAUGAUAUUUAUGGGAGAAGUCCAGCUGAAUUUUAGGUUUUGGCUGCAGAAAGUUAUGAACUCCGUCAGUUCCACCAUGGGCACUGGCCUCCAUCGCAUCCAGGACGUCUUCCAGGAGCCAUGUCUCAGAAAGGUGGCAUCCACCUUUAAGGGCCCCCUUCACGCAGGGCAGAGUAUUACUGACAUUUUCUGCUUUCUUUUCAGUUUUAUUUUUAUCUUUUAUUUUUUAUUAAAAUCUUUUAUAUUUAUUUGCACCAUUGAAUAAUAUGAAGUGUUACUGAUAUUAAAAUAGCUGGAAGUAAUUUAAAAGUAAAAGGUUAAAACACAUAAAAUCACUUUAAGACAUCAAACUAAAAGAAAUUAGCUUUAGAAAGUCACUAGCUUUUCCCAAUCUGUGUGUGAGAAUAAUAACCGAACUAAAGAGCAUUGAGUUGGAUGAUACACCACUGUGAGAGAUGUGAGGAAUCCGUCAAACAGUAAAUCUCAGAUCAGAUCAGAGAUGGGCUCCACGGUAGUGUAGUCGUUGGUAUGACACUAUUACGGUUCUGGAGUUCAGAGUUCAAUUCCGGCACAGUUCUGUAGGGAGUCUCUGUAUGUCCUCCCACAGUCCAAAGAUGUUCUGAGUAGUUUAAUGGGUCACUGUAAAUUAUCCCAUGAUUAGGUUAGGGUUAAUUGGGUUUGUCAGGAGUUGUUGGGGCAGUGUGGCUCAGAGAGCUAGAAGGACCUACUCCUGGCCGAAUCGCUAAGUAAAAUAAAAAUAAGAAAUAAAGCCCAUCUUGAAUUAAUGACAGUGAAGUAUUAGUGUAACGUGAUUAGUGUACAGUAUGUGUGUGUGCAGUUCCUAGCAAGUGUGGGAGUUUAUAUGCAGGUACAUGUGCAUGUGUGUGAGUGUAUGCAUGCAUGCAUUUGUGUACGUAUGUUGGUCCUCCACCUAAUGUCACUUAACAUGCAGUUAACUGAAUAUUAAUCAUCAAACCACAGAGUCCUUGAAACAGUCUAGAAAUAUUCAGUAUGAUUCAGUUCAGUUACUGCUGUGUCGUUCAUUACUCUGUUCGUUACUGCAGAGCCAGUCCACCCCAAACAAAAUCACACAAAAUAGCAAUAAAGAAGGGGUAACUAGAAAACAGAACCACCUAUAGCAUAAACUUUAGAGUCUCCUAAAAAUGAGAUAAUCCAUCAUCGGAGCCGAUCAAACCUUGCGCAAGAUCCAAGAUGCCUGCACCUUCGUCCAGCAGCAAGCAAGAGGGGGAGGGAGACUGGUCAAGCGCAGGCAGAUGGUGCUGACUACCCACUCGCCUUCUGCUCUCAUCCUUCUUGAUUUCAAUCUUACUUGACGCUUUAAUCGACGAGCUGGUUGAGAAUUGGAGUUGAUCAUGGGUUUGCGGUCAGACCCUCAAUGUGCAUGUUCCAUGUGGGUAUAUGUGGAUGUAUAUGCUUUGGUGUGUGUGUGUGUGUGUGUGUGUGUGUGUGUGUGUGUGUGUGUGUGUGUGUGUGUGUGUGUGUGUGUGUGUGUGUGUGUAUGUGUGUGUGUGUGUGUGUGUGUGUGUGUGUGUGUGUGUGUGUGUGUGUGUGUGUGUGUGUGUGUAUGUGUUCUGGAGCAUAGAGGAAUGAGGGGAGAUUUGAUAGAGGUAUAUAAAAUUAUGAUGGGUAUUGAUAAAGUGAAUGCAAGCAGGCUUCUUCCAUUGAGGAUAGGGGAGAGAAAAAACAGAGGACAUGGGUUAAGGGGGAAAAGUUUAAAGGGAACAUUAGGGAGGGGGCUUCUUCACACAGAGAAUGGUGGGAGUGUGGAAUGAGCUGCCAGAUGAAGUGGUAAAUGCGGGCUCACUUUUAACAUUUAAGAAAAACUUGGACAGGUACAUUGAUGAAAGUUGUAUGGAGAGGCAUAAGGUCCAGGUGCGUGUCAGUGGGACUAAGCAGAAAAAUGUUUCAGCACAGCCAACAAGGGCCAAAAGGCCUGUUUCUGUGCUGUAAUGUUCUAUAGUUCUAUGGUUCUAUGGUUUGUUAACUUCAAACAGAUGUGUAUAAUCACUGAGAUAGAUUUAUCUCAGGCUAUGUCACAUGUAAAUUAGGGAAAGUCUGAUCAAUUGUCAAAAACAUCAGAACGUCUGCAGAUGCUGGAAAUCUCAAACAACACAUACACAAAGCUAGAGGAACGCAGUAGGUCAGGCAGCUUGUAUGGAAAUAAUAAACAGUCGACGUUUCAGGUUGAGGCCCUUCUUCAGGACUGAAGUGUAAGCAGGAAGAUGCCAAGAAUAAAAAGGUGGGGGAGGGGAAGGAGGCUAGCUGGAAGGUGAUAGGUGAAGCCUGGUGGAUGGGCAAAGUCAAGGGCUGGAGAAGAACAAACGUGAUUUGAGAGGGUUGUGGAUGGGACCCUACUACAGAACUGUAAGAAACAAUAGUAUUCAAAAGCACUUGAAAGGACAGACUUUUCUUUAUUGAAGUAUGGAGUUGAUUCUGAUUUGAGCAAUGGAUAAAGCUAUAUGUCAGUCAUGAGCUUUGACAUGUAGUAUAACAAAUUAAGCAUUUAUUUUUUUAAGAAAGUUAAAUACAAUAAAAUGAUUGUAGGAUAUGAAUUCCUGGGAGAUUUCCUGUCCACUACCCCUUAACUUCAAGAGGAUAUUCAGAGCAAUUACAUGAUCUACCAAUUAAGAUUUUUAUCUAAGGAUUUUUGCAAACCUUGCUGAUGAUUACGAAACCUUCAUUCAGAAAAAUACAUUAUGUUUCUGCAUCCAGUUUUAUUGGUAUACAGUAUUUUAUACUGUCCAUUUAUCUUAUCUUCCUAGAGGACCACAACCUUCUCCUUGGGUUUGGAGGCUUGCAUGCUUCAAUAUCCCGGAGACCUAUGUUGUCUGCAGUCAGGGCUCUUGGUCAGGUCACACAUGCCAAUCAGGUCAAAGGGUGGAGGUCAGACUAAGAGUUGUCCAUCGGUCCUCCAGGUUCAGGGAGUUCAGCUCGGUGUUAGUAACUCUGACUGACUAAACAAAACUAUGGAAACAGCAAUGAAGAAUCCUUCAAUACAGACAGAGAUGGAGGACCUUCACUGCUGUGCUGAAUGCCAGCAGUGUAACAGGCAGUAAGUAAACAAGUAAGCAUCCCAUUUACUUGUAUCAGAUGUACCUUAAUUCUUCAGAACCAGACAAAACUUUUCAAACUCUUUUAUAGACAAUGCACAACAAUAAUGCACUGAACAUGAAAAGUGCAAUGGACUGUGACAAAAUAUGGUGAAAUAUAAUGCACAAAUCAACAAGAAAUAAUUUUAGAAAUGAAGUGUUAAGCUCUAAAAUAAAUCUUUCACAGAUUGCUUUUGAAUAAAGGCAGCGUGCAGUAUUUUGUUUUGAAUUCGUGCAUAGUACAGCAAAAAGUGUGACAAUUCCUUGAGAGGCCGUGAGGAAAUCGGUACAGCAUUAGUCUUGGUUCACAGUACAACAUGUUACUGUUUGACUUUCGCAAUGUUAAUGGACGUCAGUUCCAGCAAGUCUCUAUUUGAUUCCAUCCCUGUCGUAAUUCCAACUUCCUUUACAAUGAGAAACCUGCGCUGCUGGGACAAACUGUUUUAUCAGACAAUUGCUGAAAUAGAGGAAAUAUUUCACAAAUAACUUCGGGGAAGAGGCAAGCGAAACUACAGUUAAGAACACUGAGUUUGUGAAUUGAGAAGUAAUGAGGUGUCCAGGGGGGUCUAUAAAUCCUGUCUUCCUUUAUUGUACUGAAUAGAAACAGGAGCAUAAAAUGUUAAGGUUAUUCGCAAACACAAGAAAAUCUGCAGAUGCUGGAAAUCCAGAGCAACUCACAGAAAAUGUCAGACAACUUCAUCAGGCCAGGGGGCAUCUAUGGAAAGGAAUAAACAGUCGACGUUUCGAGCCUAGACCCUACUUCAGGACUGGAAAGAAAGAGGAGAAUACCAGGGAAGUACAAGGUGGCAGGUAGAAGUGCUGAAUGAACCAAGAGUGAUGAAAAUGCAACUUAGUAAUUUCCUACUGAAGGCAACACCAUCCAAAGCAAACAACAGCUGGUAACACCAUGGAGAUUAUGAAUUGACCCUUAACAGAGGGAUGAAUGAUGAACAGUAACACCUGCCCAAAGUUUAUCUGCCACAAUGACUGGGACAAAAGCCUUCAAUAAAUUAGAUUUGUCUCACA